rnacentral:rRNA from 1 species
UACGAAGGGUGCAAGCGUUGCUCGGAAUUAUUGGGCGUAAAGGGUAGGUAGGUGGUAAUAAAAGUCUGGGGUGAAAUCCCUGAGCUCAACUCAGGACGUGCCUUGGAAACUUUAUUACUAGAGUGCUGGAGAGGUCUGCAGAAUUCCGCGUGUAGCAGUGAAAUGCGUAGAUAUGCGGAGGAACACCGAUGGCGAAGGCAAUCCCCUGGGCCUGCACUGACGCUCAUGCACGAAAGCGUGGGGAGCAAACAGG